rnacentral:rRNA from 1 species
AGGGUUUGAUUAUGGCUCAGAUUGAACGCUGGCGGCAUGCUUUACACAUGCAAGUCGAACGGCAGCACAGGGAGCUUGCUCCUGGGUGGCGAGUGGCGCACGGGUGAGUAAUACAUCGGAACGUGUCCUAUCGUGGGGGAUAACUGAUCGAAAGAUCAGCUAAUACCGCAUAAGACCUGAGGGUGAAAGUGGGGGAUCGCAAGACCUCACGCGAUUGGAGCGGCCGAUGCCCGAUUAGCUAGUUGGUGAGGUAAAGGCUCACCAAGGCGACGAUCGGUAGCUGGUCUGAGAGGACGACCAGCCACACUGGGACUGAGACACGGCCCAG